rnacentral:rRNA from 1 species
AUUGAACGCUGGCGGCAUGCUUUACACAUGCAAGUCGAACGGGGUGAAGGGGCAACUCUUCAUUCAGUGGCGAACGGGUGAGUAAUGCAUCGGAACGUACCUCGUAGUGGGGGAUAACUCGGCGAAAGCCGUGCUAAUACCGCAUAUGCUCUACGGAGGAAAGCAGGGGACCUGAGAGGGCCUUGUGCUAUGGGAGCGGCCGAUGUCCGAUUAGCUAGUUGGNGGGGUAAUGGCCUACCAAGGCGACGAUCGGUAGCUGGUCUGAGAGGAUGAUCAGCCACACUGGGACUGAGACACGGCCCAGACUCCUACGGGAGGCAGCAGUGGGAAUAUUGGACAAUGGGGAAACCCUGAUCCAGCAAUGCCGCGUGAGUGAUGAA